rnacentral:lncRNA from 1 species
GGGGGGAGAAGUCUGUCUGGGGCCCGGACCACGUGGGGCCUGAGCUGCAGGCUGCUCCGGAUGACCUAUGACCCCACCCCCGCCUAACCCCAUGCCCCGUUCUUGUCCGCCGCCAGCUGCAGAACUCCAGGACGGUGAUCCAGGAGCGGGACCGCGUGAUCCGGGAGCUGCAGGAGAAGGUGGCGUUCCUGGAGGCAGAGAACCGGGAGAUGCACGACCGGAUGGACUUCCUGCUGUCCAGCCAGAAUCCCGAGGCCCGCGCGCCGGAGCCGAGCUCUCGGAUCGUGUACAGCAAGCCCCUGGUGCCCAGCUCGGCCGGCAAGCCGCUGCCCCACAUCAGGGUGGUGGAGAUCAGGUCGUGACCCUCGGCGCCCAGCAGCCGGGGAGGGUGAGGAGGGGGCGUGGCCACGACUGGAGAAGCACGACACAGAUCUCCCCCCCCCUGGGGGGGGGCGUGGAGGGCGGGGCAGGGGGCGGAGGAGAGACCGAAGGAUCCGCAGAAGGGGGGGAUCUGGGAUUUCCAGAAGAGACGGACAGGGUGGGCGUGUCCCUCUCCAAGGGGGGACCCCUCAUCUCCCCCCCAACUAAGGUCUGACCCCAGACACGACGGCUCCCUUUUUAUUCGCCACCCCGGGGUGCCCGGUUUGUGACGCAGGCCAGCGUCUGAGCGUCCUCUUUGAGCUGGGCGCGCGAGUAUCCGAAGGGCCUUGCCCGGGACAAUAUCCACAACACGUCGUCGGCGCUCUGGUGUCACUUUUGAAUAAUGGUUUCUGUGCGUCUAGCGCAGUUCUCUAGGCCUGAGCCGGAUCCCUCGGUCAGUUGUCGUUUUGAUCGCGUGCUGAACGCCCGCAGGCCGGAGUGUAAGUCAGGGGCUUUCAUCGCAGUCACGGCCGCUAAUUCAUCACUUCCUUCCUUAAAGUGGGGCUCGUGUGGCGUUUCCAGCCAGGAGCUCUCUGGUCUGAUUACCAUCGCUGAGCCGCAGGCGCUGCCUCGGUUCUGACCCAGUUCUGAGUUCUGUGGGACUGUGGGACUCCCUCUUUUUCAGGUUUCAUUCCUGCCCAGCUCCCAGUUACUUAAUGAAACCAGUCCAUGGCUUUAUUGGGCCAGAUCAAGGUGACU